rnacentral:rRNA from 1 species
UGGGGAAUAUUGCACAAUGGGCGCAAGCCUGAUGCAGCCAUGCCGCGUGUAUGAAGAAGGCCUUCGGGUUGUAAAGUACUUUCAGUCGGGAGGAAGGUGGUAAGGUUAAUAACCUUAUCAAUUGACGUUACCGGCAGAAGAAGCACCGGCUAACUCCGUGCCAGCAGCCGCGGUAAUACGGAGGGUGCAAGCGUUAAUCGGAAUUACUGGGCGUAAAGCGCACGCAGGCGGUCUGUCAAGUCGGAUGUGAAAUCCCCGGGCUCAACCUGGGAACUGCAUUCGAAACUGGCAGGCUAGAGUCUUGUAGAGGGGGGUAGAAUUCCAGGUGUAGCGGUGAAAUGCGUAGAGAUCUGGAGGAAUACCGGUGGCGAAGGCGGCCCCCUGGACAAAGACUGACGCUCAGGUGCGAAAGCGUGGGGAGCAAACAGG